GUGUAAUAGUAAAAUGGCUCUUCUGCGAUGUUUUUCCUUUAGUUUCAACCACACCGUCUCAUGAGAGGAUCCAAUACUGGGUGUAGUAGAACUGACAGAAUUGACUUUAUUAUCUGUAUAAAAGAGAUAGACUGUGACUUCAAAUUUCGUCUGUCGAGGCUUCUUUAAACAAUAUAAAUAUCUUCACUCCUCUUACAUUGGGUACAUGGAGUUUAAAAAAUUUUUUUUACUUCAAACGAGACUAUUAACAAAUUAUAUGUGUAUAUGUGGUAUAAACCAUGUAUGAAUGCACAGCUACACGUACACAUCUUUGAGAUAGUUUCCUGGUUUAAACUCAUCAAAUUUCUUGUUUCUCACCUUGACUGUCAGAAAUAUAAAUUUACUUUAAACAGAACACUAGUUUUAGAACAAAAUUAAUAAGGGCCCAGAAACUAUGUAUCUUGUCAGAUUUAUAGUUAAAAUCCUUUGUAUUUACAAAGGUAUAAUGUUUAAUAUUGUUUUAUAUCAUGAAUUUUAAAUCGUUAAAAUAUAUCUAUGUAUGCUUGCCUAUUCUCUCUCUCUUUCUUUUUGUCUUUAUUUUCCAAAUUUCUUAUCAAUUAGAAAAAGAACCGGCUUCUCCAUUGGAAUUUAGACAUCCGCCCGGUAGUGUUUGUGUGUGCCAUUGCAUAUAUGUAUCUAUGAUUUGAUUUGUACGAAUACAUACCUACAUGUCUAUAUGCGUGCGUGUACCUGUUACAGGCUGAUCUUCUCAAAUGUUUUGCAUAUCUCCACAGUUUCAUUAAUGGCUUGUAACUGUAAUUUGUUAAUUAGUUUCUCAAGGCUGAUGCUGAGACACAUUUACAUAACCAGGUGUUCCAAUAAUCACAGGUGAAAACUUAUAAUUCAGGUGUGGUGCCUGCAGAUUUUUCUUUAGUUUAGAUCAAUGUUUCUUGACUAUUUUCUUACCUGUGAAUCCCUCUAAUUCCUAUUUUAAUCGACUCGACCCUCCAUCAUAUCCAUUCAACGUUUAAAAACGUCCUAUUAUAUUUUUAUAACUAAAUAUUACUAGAAAUUAUAUUAAAAAAUUCAAAAUUAUUUUGUAUAUUGUUGUUAUAGAGCCAACUUAUUGCACAUAAAUUUAAACAGCAAAAUUUGAUAUGGACACCCACAAGGGCCAUAUUUUAUGUGGAUCCCCACUCCACAAGGGCCAUGUGGACCCUGGUUGAGAACUGCUUCAGACGUUUUAUUCUCUCCUUUAAUGAGCAAUAACAGAUUUCUGCUUUUGUACAAACUUUCUUUACUCUCUCCCUGAUUAUUGUGCUUAGUCACUUGUGCCUGUAUUUUAUUAAGGACUAGCAGUUUCGCCCGGCGUUGCUCGGGUUUGUUUCGAUCCUUUAGAAUUGGAAUUUUUGAAAAGUAAAAAUGUUGCAUUAUGUAGCUUGUUAUUCUCUUUAAGUGAACAUUUUUCUGGUUGAAAUACACCGAAAAAUGGCGACACAAGCAGUAAAAAAAAAUCGUAAAAAAUAGGAAUUUUCAUAGAAAAAAAGCACCUUUUUGAUGUAAAUAAUUUUUGGUGUUAACAUGGUCCGAUUUGAAUUUUUUACGGAAAGAAGAGCGAGCCUUCUUCUAUCAUACUCUCAAUUUUGGUCAACUUGCGCCUCAGGGUCUCAGAGGAGAUAGUGUUAGUUGAAGGCUACCAAACCUGCCAUACACAGACAACUUCAGCUUUAUAUAUAUAUAGAGAUAGAGAUUAGACAGGAACAUUCCUCCAGUACUAUCUUUCAUCUUUUACUUGUUUCAGUCAUUGGAUUACGGUCAUGCUGGGGCACCACCUUGAAGAGCUUAGUUGAACAAAUCAACCCCAGUAAUCUGCUUUUUUUAAUUUUUGUAUUUAUUCUUUUGCUGAAGCACUAAGCUGUGGGGAUGUAAACAAUCUGACACUGGUUGUCAAGUAGUGGGUGGGGACAAAUAUACACACUAGCACGUGAAAAACAACAUUCAGGCAUGGUCGUUGCCAGUGCCGCCGGACUGGCUCCCGUGCAGGUGGCAUGUGAAAAACACCAUUUAAGCAUGGUCAUUGCCAGUACUGCCUGACUGGCCCUCGUGUCGGUGGCAUGUAAAAGCACCCACUACACUCUCGGAGUGGUUGGCAUUAGGAAGGACAUCCAGCUGUAGAAACUCUGCCAGAUCAGAUUGAAGCCUGGUGCAGCCAUCUGGCUCACCAGUCCUCAGUCAAACCGUCCAACCCAUGCCAGCAUGGACAUUAAAUGAUGAUGAUGCUACCAUACAGUUCCUGUCUGCCAAAUUCACUCACAAACCCUACCUAACCCUAUAAUAGAAGACUCUUGCCCAGGGUACCAUGCAGUGGGACUGAACCUUUAACCGUGUAGUAGUAAAAUGAGCUUCUUAACCACACAACCAUUCCCUCUGCACCAGUGUAAGUUUUUAUAUUUUGUUCUUCAGGACUAUCCUGUCUACAAAUUGCCUUGUGUAGUGUUUUGGCCUCUACAUCAUACCUGAUCAACAGAUAGUGCUUUGGUGAUGUUUUUGAACAAUUGCUUAUCUCCUCAGGGGCAUCUUUGGUAUAAAUUGUACAGAAUCUGCAUCAGUUGUUACAACUAGAGGUGCUUUACCUACAACGCUACUGCUUUUGUACAUCAGGUAUUUUGUUGUUAUUUCAUUGGGAAAAACACUUCCUUCAAAAGCAAGAGCUAAUAUAAUGGUUGUUGGUCCAAAGUAGACUGUUUCAGUUAUUUCGAUGUUAUUGCUUCUCUGAAGUUUUCUGACAACAUGGCCAUAUAUAACCCUGACCUGUUGAUCAGCAAAAAGUCUUUUCUUUGAUGACGUUGCACUAGUACUGUGUAGAUUCCUCAGGUUUGUAUCUUUGCUCAUCAGCAACAAGCUCCUUUUCAGCUCUCAUAAUAUUAUUUGCUUGGUGGUUAGUUAGUUAGUUAGUUAUUUGGCUCAAAAAGCAAAAAAGCAAGGCCAUGUAGGUUAAUAGAUGUUGAAGAGAUAUGUAAUAUUCAGAGGCUGUUUAGGUGGAUGUUAAGCUUCAACUUUCUCUGGGCACCGUUAGUUAAAAGUGUUCAAUAUUACUAUUGGUAUCAAAAUUUCUGGAGGUAGUUAAUUGUUUUCAGGUUUAAAUACGAAUAGUACAGAUCUUAUCUGGCAUUGAAUCGUAUAGUCUAAAUGUUGGUAUGAGUACUGGUACAACAAACAUAUUGUGGGUUAAUGAGUUAUUAGCAGGGCUGUGGAGUCAGAGUCGAAAACAAUUAAGGAGGAUUCGGAGGAGUUGGAGUAACUAUACUGACUCUGAUUCUGACUCCUGAUAUCUUUAUUCUUUAAUAUAAACCAGUUUUAACAUAAAGGCCUACUCAGAGUACAAGCGUAUGCAUAUGCAUUAUGAGAUAUGGAGACCACAAUCACUUAAUUACAUAAAGAGGAGUCGGAGUUGAAGUUUUUUGUUUUGACUCUGCACCCCUGGUUGUUAGGGUCUUUUUCAUGGCUUAUGCAUUGCAAGAUCCCUAUUACAAGGACUGUCCUAGAUAUACUUUAUUCAAUCAGAUUGGAGCCUGGUGCAGCUUUCUGCUCUCCAGACCUCAGUUAAACCGUCCACCAAAAAGUUUCCCCGCCCCUGUUCUACAACAAAAAGUGUAAGGGCUUCACUGCAAGUAUAAACCCCAUUAGAGAAAUAGUUAAGCCAUUGGGAAGAUUAUUGAACUGGCUUGUAGAUAUUUAGGAAUAUUGAUCUUUAGCAUACUGCACCCUUGUAUCCUUUGAGAAUGUUGUAGACUCUCCUUUCAGUCAUCAACAUUUUGGUAAGUAUCUUAAGGAGGCUGCCAGUCUCUUUAAGGUAACAUGCUGGACAAAAUAUUUAAUAGCAUUUCUUUCAGCUCUUUAUGUUCCGAGUUCAAAUCCCACUGAGAUCAACUUAGUCCUUGCUCCCUUCGGAGUUGAUAAAAUAAAAUGCUAGUUAAGUACUUGGGGUGAUGUGAUUGACUUGCCCCCUCCCAUCAAAAUUGCUGACUUUGAAUCUUGUAAUGGACUGGUGUUACAGGUAAUGUUGUGAUCUUUCACUUACUCACCAUGAAAACCAGGAAACUGGCUUUAUGAUUCUGAGGGCCCGAGGGUAAAAAGAAAAAAAAAAAGAAACAAUCCAAAAUCAGAUUAUCUCAAAAGAAGUUAUUGUCAAGUUAAUAUUUCUGUCAUACUAUAAGCCAAUCAGGUAUCUUCUACAACAGGGGUAGGGGAACCCCUGCCUGUGAUCCCAUUUUAUUGCACCCACAGGCAGAUAUACUCAUAUGUACAAAAUAUAAUAAAUUUUUCAAUCAUAAAAUUUAUACAAUAUUUGUAUGCCUAUUUGCGACAGAGGUUGCGUUUCAACUGCAACUUAAAACUCGAACAGAAAUCGUCCAGUAAUUUCCUUUUGAAUGGAAAUUUUGUUUUCACUAUAAAACACAUAUUGCUAGGUUUGUACCACCCCCUUGAGACCCAACUACACUCUAGCUGAAAAAUAUAGAAUGCCGCAUAGGUAAUAUAAACAUCCUAAAUUCAGUGGCAGUGUUAUUGAAGAUGUUAUGCAUUAAUUUAAUGUGUUAAACUUGUCUUUAUUAAUAUAUAUCGAAUUAUACAUAUAUAUAAGAUUUACACAGAUAUAAGAGUUAGAACUUGUGGUCUGCCCAUGGACCUUUUUCAUUGGCAGUUUUUGCCCGCAGCACCAAAAAGUUUCCCCGCCCCUGUUCUACAACAAAAAGUGUAAGGGCUUCACUGCAAGUAUAAACCCCAUUAGAGAAAGCUUGUCUUCUUGAUAUAUACCCCUGCAAUAUUUCAUUUAUUUUCUUACAGACAGUGCAACCAUUUCAUUAUCUUCCUCCUCAUUUUACUGUGUACUUUUUCCAUGUUUCUAAGAAUCAAAUAGAAUUUGUUGUGGCAGAUUUUCUAUGGUCAGAUGUCCUUCCUGUCACCAAUCUUCUGUUUCCACAUUCAUAGGAAAUAAUGGUCCUGCUUAUAUAAUGGUGGCACUUGCUUAUAACUAUCAUGUGAUGUCAAGACAAUGAGGCCACCCUCCACACACACACACUCACAUAUGGCAGGUUUAUUUCAGUUUUCGUUUACCAAAUCCACUCACAAGGCUUUAGUCAAUUUGAGGCUAUAGCAGAAGACCUAUGCCAAAGGUACCAUCCUGUGGGACUGAACCUGAAACCAUGUGGUUGGGAAGCAAACUUCUUAACCACAGCCUGCAGCUGUAUUCAGUCUCAACGUAGAGGCCCAGGAUGAAGCCAGGUUAACUAUUGCAUUAGUUAUAGUCUCUGGAGCUUUGGCAAAUCAAAGGGCCUCAAUGAAAUCAAAUGCUUUCUUGUAAUCCUGGCAGUCUCUACCCAAGUUGCUUUUUUGCUGGUCUUCUUUUGUUGAUCAGGAGUUGCUCAGAACAUCUUGAAACUUUUUUUUUCCCCCCAACUGUUUGUUUAACUGUAAUGAUGUUAGAAAAUUACCAUUUUUAAAUCUCACAACAUGAGAUAUUCAGCGACAGUACUUUGGAGUAAAGAUUGUUUGCCAACAUAACAUGGCAGUCCUGGUUUAGGAUCAAUGUUGCUGUAAUUUAGCCUCAGGAGACAUCGUCUCCAGCUGGCUAUACGGCAUGAUCUGUGUCCUUAUAUUUUCGAACAAGGGAGCUGAGUGGGGAUGCUAAAUUCCCUUGUUCGAAAAUAUAACGACACAGAUUGUGUUGUAUAGCCAGCGGGAGAUGAUGUCUCCUGAGACUAAAUUACAGCAACAUUGAUCCUAAACCAGGACUGCCAUGUUAUGUUGGCAAACAAUCUGUAAUGAUGUUGUUACUAUCACAGUGAUCCAGCUGGAAUAGGUUCACUCUGGCUGUAUAUAUUUUAUACAUGGUAUUCUGGCACAAGCACCCACUACACUCUGAGUGGUUGGUAUUAGGAAGAGCAUCAAGCUGUAGAAACACUGCCAGAUCAGAUUGGAGCCUAUUGCAGCUUUCUGCUCUCCAGACCUCAGUUAAACCGUCCAAUAGUUCUUCACCAUGUCAAUGAAUUCAUUCUUUACUACCUGGCUUGUUUUGGCCAAUGUCCACUUGCUGAUAUAAAGUCAGUUUUUGUACCAGUAACUGACAGCCAAGUCUCUUCCUGGUCUUUUGCUAUCCUGAAUUUUUUCCUUUUUGCUUUUUUACUGUCUUUGUAGGUGCAAGUGUGGUUGUAUGAUUGAGAAGCUUGUUUCUCAACCAUGUGCGGUGCCUUGGGCAAGUGUCUUAUGCUUAUGACAUCUUAUUAAACAAAGCCUUGUGGGUGGAUUUGGUUGACAAAAACUUGAGGAAGCCCAUCAUACACAUAUAUAUAUAUAUAUAUAUAUAUAUAUAUAUAAGUUCAGCAAAAUUUAGAUUCAGAUGAAUAUGGUAUUUAAGUUAAAGGCACCAGAAUUUGGUAUGGUAUUAUCCAUAUAAAUGAAAUGGGGUGAUUAUAAUCAAAAUAGGCAACAAGGAUAUCCAAGGUAGUGUAGUACAAUCGUUUCAUGCUACUUCAUUUUAUUAAACAACUAGCAUUAAAGACCCGUCGUUGCCGGGUCAUAGUGCUAGUGCAUGUAUAUAUGUGUACAUAUUACAUGUACAUCUAUAUAUAUAUACAUCUACACAUAAAAUACAAAAUACAAAGUUAUAUCUUGAUAUCGCUAGUGAUAACAAUACUCAAAAAAUAUAAAAGACUGGAAUUGUUAGCCCGUCUCUUGUAAUUUCGAUCAAUUGUAUCUUGUCCUCCCUCCCUCUUGUAUAGAAGUGUGGCUACAAUCCAGCCUACCUCUACUUCUGGGGGGGAUAAAAAAAUUUUUUCCGGGACGUCCUAUGUCCCAGAUAUAAAGAUAAAAAUAAAAUAUUUCCACUUUGCAAGUUCGAGUCAAGUACUCCUUUGCACGCUCUGUUGACUCGAACCUUGCUUCUAUUGUGGCGAAUUUACCACCUCUGAUUAAAUACCUUUCAUAGUCGCACCAAGACACUUUUCGAAGGUGCUUUCCUUCAUGUGUUUAAAUCUUCUUUUUUCUCUACAUUGUAUACUUUAUAGACAAUAGUCUUUUCUUUAAUUUAAUUUUUUAUUAUCCAUCUGGACUAUUCCAUUUCUGCACGCUAAUUUUAUUUUUAAUUUAUUCCCAUUCAUGUGAAACCACUUAUUUAAGUUCAAAUCAUUGAUGCAAUUUUAUACCAAUUGCUAUUUUUACUUUUAAUUAUUACUUACUACAUAUAAUUCAAUUGUUAUUAUUAUUUUUAUUGUUAAAGUGAAAGUAUCGAACAUAAAAUAAAGAAAUGUUUUUGUUUCACUUUUAACACGUAAUACUGAAAUAGUGGAGAAGAUAUGAUAUUGCUAUGGGCUCGCUCUAGGCAAGAAGUUGAACAUUUUUUUUGCCGAUGACACUCCCCGGACCUUAAGUAAGGCAUGUGUAAAAUUUGAAUGAAAUUGGUUGUGUAGUUCUCAAGUUUUAGGGAAACACACAGACAGACACACAUUCUCAGUUUUGUAUAUAUAAAGAUGUAAGUAUUACAUCAGUUUUAAAAUAUAGAGCUAUCUUCAGCUGCAGAUGGAGAAGGACCUUCUACUACCAUGUUCUUAAUGAUGAAAUUAACCUCUCUGUCUAUAUAUCUACCUUCUUUGUAAUGUUGGCAAAUGAAAUAAGUAUAAAAAUGUACAUUGUCUAUUUAAUUAAAAAAAAUUCUAUAUGUAAUUGAAGAUUGCUCGACAUUUUAAAACUGAUGUAAUACUUGAAUUGUUUAAUAAAAUGAAGUAGCAUGAAACGAUUGUACUACACUACCUUGGAUAUCCUUGUUGCUUAUUUUGAUUACAUAUAUAUAUAUAUAUAUAUUAUUAUUAUUAUUAUUAUUAUAAUAUGUAGAAAAAUACAAACUGGGACAAGAACGCAAAACACUAGAAGACGAUACAAGAAAACAUGGAUGGGACAUUCGAAGCCCUCAAUCUUCAGUCAAGAACUGGAUCAUUGUAGCAAUUUUGGCUGAUUAAUCUUGAAUACAAAAAACACGGACGGGACAUUCGAAGCCCUCAAUCUUCAGUCAAGAACCGGAUCAUCGUAGCAAUUAUAUAAAUAUAUAUAUAUACACACACACACUCCCACACACACAUCAAGUUGUAGAAAAAUCUGCCUCAAUAAAUUCCAUCUGAUCAGUGAAGCAUGAAAAAGUGGGCGUUAAAUAAUGAUAAUGUUAACAAGUGUCAAGAACCUUACCAUUGGCACUGUAUACUUCUAGUCACAUCACUUCUUGGUUAAGCAACUUCUAUCACAAUCCUGAAUAGGAACCACUAUUAUUGACUGUCUUCUCAUCUCUGUUACAUUGCAGAAUGGUUUUCAAAUGUCUUGUUAAUUGGUCUUCUUUUGGCUACUUUGUUGUUUUGAUAAUGGAAUUUCUUUUCACUAACAGCUUUUAACUACUGUUUUGAAGAGGAUCAGUGUCUUGCAGACGUUCUCUUAUGGUGAGACGUGUGUGUGUGUUUACCAUUUUUUUAAAGUCCUCCUUCUGUGCUGGCAUGAAUUGGGUGAUCUGACAGGAGCUGGCUCUGCUGUCUGCUUAGACAUGGUUUCUAUGUCUUGUUGCCCUUCCUAAUGCCAACCACUCCACAGAAUCUACUGGGUGCUUUUAAUGUGGUACCACUAGCAUUGAGGUCAUGGCAAAAUUGUUGUUAUGUCAGACAAAAUGCUUAGUGGCAUUCCUUCUGGCCCUUUAUGCUCUGAGUUCAAAUCCUACUGAGGUCAGUUUUGCCUUUCUUCCCUUCAGCAUUGAUAAAAUAAAGUACCAGUCAGAUACUAGGAUCAGUGUAAUUGAUUUGUCCCUUCUUUUCAAAUCUGCGAUGGACUGGUGAUCUAUUUAAAAAGGAAUGUUUGUGAUCUCGGUCACUUAUGUGCUGUGGAAACAGGGUAACUGGAUUUAUGUGUCCUUGGGCUUAAGGAAAAAGAAAAGAAAAAAUGUGUGUAUAUAUUUAUGUGAUACCCGUGCCGGUGGCACGUAAAAAGCACCAUCCAAACGUGGCCGAUGCCAGUGCUGCCUUGACUGGCUUCUGUGCUGGUAGCACGUAAAAAGCACCAACCUAUCGUGGCUGCUGCCAGCCUCCCCUGGCACCUGUGCCAGUGGCAUGUAAAAAGCACCCACUACACUCACGGAGUGGUUGGCGUUAGGAAGGGCAUCCAGCUGUAGAAACACUGCCAGAUCAGACUGGAGCCUGGUGUAGCCUCCUGGCUUCCCAGACCCCGGUCAAACCGUCCAACCCGUGCUAGCACAGAAAACGGACGUUAAAUGAGGAUGAUGAUGAUAAAUAUAUAUGAUCAGAGACAGAAAAUGGAAUUCACAAGAUACUUUAUUCAUAUCCACUACAAUUGUUUCAACUUAUCCUGUAUCUAUACUUCACAGGUGAGAUGUUGUACAAUCGUCUUGCAGCACACGUGCAGAUUGAUGAAAUCUCUCAAAUUGUAAACAAUUGUCAUUGUUUUACAAGCAAUAUCAUUCAUUUCCAGUGUUCCGCAGAAACAUGUUUGGCCAUGGGAAAUACUACCUUGCUUGGAAACAGGUGAAGGUUGGCAACAGGAAGUGCACCCAGUCAAAGAAAAUCUGCCUCGUUAAUGCCAUCUGAGCCAUGCAAUCAUGGAAAAACUGAUAUUAAAUGAUCUAUUAGGAAAAACCCUCUAUUGCCCUCUAACCUCUCACUUGGAACAAAACCACUUCCCUCGGUACCACUCACUCUCCCAACCAAGAAGGCCUUAACUCACAAGGUGCUUGGUGACCCCACUGGUGUUGGAACCACGUAAAAAAGCUCCCAUGCUGGUGCCACAUAAAAGGCACUCAGUAUACUCUGUUAAGUGGUUGGUGCUAGGAAGGGCAUUUGGCUGUAGAGAGAAAACCAAAACGGACAAUGGAGCAUGAUGCAGUUCUCUGGCUUGCCGGAUCCUAUAAAACUGUCCAACCCAUGCCAACAUGGAAGCUGGACGUUAAAUGACGACAGAUAUAUGUGUGUGUAUGUCUCACCCAUGCCAGCAUGGAAGGCAGACAUUAAAUGAUGAUGAUGAUGAUACUGAAUUAGUGCUUAAGUCAUCCUAUUGGGUGAUCAUGAUUAAUUGUAGUUUUCUUUGAUAAAAUCUUUCAUGUUGUAUUUGUUGAUAUAUUCAUUAUUUACAUUUGAUGGAUAUUUGUCCUUAUCUUGUUUGUUGUUAACACAAUGUUUCAGCUGAUAAACCCUCCAGCCUUCAUCAGGUGUCUUGGGGACAUUUCGAACCAGGGUUCUCAUUCCUAAGGUAUUUUUUGAUGUUAUUAUUAUUAUUAUUAUUUAGGUCACAGCCUGGAAUUGAACUUGGAAUCUUGGGGUUAGUAGCCCACGCUCUUAACCACUAUGCUAUAUGCUCGUUGAUAUAUUGUUCAAACAAGUUUCUUGCUUAUGGAGCAGUUUGGAGAGUAUAGCAUCCUGUCAUUUAAGACUUGUGUUUUGAAUCACAGGGGUGUCGUAUAUAUACACACACACACACACGUGGAGCCCCCUAGCACUGUGGAGAUAAUAAUUUUUUCAUAGAAUUUAGCAGGAUUAAAUGUUUGAAGUUGAAAUUAAAGAAUAAGGAAAACGGUGCCUAGGAUAUACAUAUUUAAAAAUUUUACUUUGCUAAUUUAUUACAAAGGUCUCAAAGUCUUUAGUAAUCAUGUACAUACAUACAUAGAUAUAUAAUUAGUGCUUUAGCACUCAUUUUUCAUCCCAUCUAUAACCUAUUUAAAAUGGUAAUGGUGCUUAGAUUUUCUGUAUCCAAAUUUUGUCCUGAUAACAUUUUAUUUAUGUCAUUUGAAUUAACUACAUAUUUUUGUAUAUUAAUUAAGUAAUUAUAUUGAUUGUGAUGUCUACUUCAAGUUCUAGUGCAGAACUUAAAAUGAAAUUUUGAAAUAUCAAUGAAACCUUUGCCUAUAUAUAUAUACAUAUAUAUACACUGGAGUAAGCACAUAAAUGUGAAACAAGGUGGAAAAAAGAGUACUCAAAUACCAGAGGUAGAGUAAUAUGCUUUAUUUAAAAGCAGCAGAAAUAUAACGAACGGGAACGUGAAACUCUGAGUAACAGCUUUUGUUAUAUUUCUACUGCUUUUAAAUAAAGUAUAUAUAUAUAUAUAUAUAUAUAUAUAUAUAUUAAACAGGGUAUGCAGGACUAUUUUAUCCUCAUAUGGAACAAUGGGUGCUGAUAGUAUCAGGUCAUUCUGAAUGAAAUAUCUGAUUUUGAACUGAAAGUUUAUUUUACUUUAUCUCAACAAAAAAACAAUGUUGUUAAUCAAAGUAUGCACCUAAAUUAUCAACACAAUUUUGCCAUUUUAUCUGUAGCUUAUUUAUGUCAUUAGCGAAGAAUUCUGGAGAGCAAGAGGUGAUGAAAUAACGAAAAGUUAUUUUAGUUGAUGUAUAUAUCCACUGUAAUUCACUUAGCAGGUCUCAUGAAGCUGUAGUGGAUGACACUAGUGCUGGACCACCAAACAGACACCAUUAGGUGUUUUUUUGGUAAGCAUUCAUUUUGGAUUGAGUUUUUGCACUUCGUCUAUAUCCAACUACCGUGCAGAACGCUUGCCUUUGUUGAAAAAUAUCUAUUUUCACCACACGUAACAAUACGAUGCAAAAAUGGUUCGAUUUUUUGCCGUGACAGCAAAAAACAGCAAGUUUCAAGACAACGUGUCAUUUGAUGAUCGUUCGGUUCGUGUGGUACCUACUUGUUCAGCUUCUUUACCUUGUCGAUUUAUUUCAGAUGGUCCAAUACAGUUGGAAUUGAAGCAUCAAACCUUGCUACUAACUCACGCGAAGUUUGAGAUAUAUCCGCUUCCACUAGAGUUUUCAGCUCUUCAUUAUCUACCAUGGUCUCAGGUUUAACACGGGGCUGAUUUUCAAGAGUAAAGUCACCAGACCGGAACUUCUCAAACCUCUGAUGUACAGUGCGCUCAUUCGCAACAACUUCACCAAACACGUCAUUGAUGUUUCGAGCUGUCUGGGGUGUAUUGGUUUCAUGACGGAACUCAUGUUCAUAAACAACACGAGUUUUUUUUAUCUAUCCAUGGGUUCACAAAAAUUGAUUUACAAGAGAAAACUCACUCUCAAAUAUAAUCAGACACCAUGAAUUGCUUUUCGAAAAGUGAUGAUGUAAUUCUUCAAUGUUGUAAAACAAAGAAUUGUCAGGAUAAAGCAUUAGAGUUAACAACUGUCAAACUUAGUGCAUAAGAAAAUCAGACAUCUCAUUCUUAACAACCUGGUCUUAUAGAAUGUACUUUGUCCACUCUAAACUUGCUGGUAAUAUGAGGAGCAUAGAGUUAUAGAAAUGCCAAAAUGGAGCAUAUGAGCAGGAUAUGGACUUUGCAAGUUGCAUCAUAGAUUAUGCAUGUAUUGGAACAGUAACUCUGAAUUAAAACUGAUAGAGGUUAGAGAAGAUUCGUUAGUCCUCAUAAACGAGGCAAAUUGUCUUGUACCAGUGGUCAACACAGUUUGAUUCGCACAAAUUUGGCCAGUGAUCUUUGGU
rnacentral:lncRNA from 1 species